AUGUAUACAAAUUCCGUUCCGUUCUAUACUUAUUAAUAUCGUAUCCUUUCUAAUAAAUCAACUCUCGGGGUAAAAAAUUAUAUUAUCAAUUUCCCCUGCGCCCUCGACCCCUCCCCUACCCGCGCGCGCACAUUAUAGGCCGUCACGCGACCGCGAUCACCGCGCGUUGUAUAAUACGACUCUCUGUAUAUACGUAUACAAUGCAAUAUUCUAUGCAUAUAUAUAUAUAUAUAAUGCGUAUUAUAUACAUAGUAUCGGUUUAUUGUUAUUAUAUUACGUAUAGAGAACCGUCAGG